GCGCCGGUGGUGUAAGGUGAACAUCGCUGCCCGGAAAGCAGAAGAUGCGGGUUCAAGUCCCGCCUGGCGCA
rnacentral:tRNA from 1 species